UACGAAGGGGGCUAGCGUUGUUCGGAAUCACUGGGCGUAAAGCGCACGUAGGCGGAUUGUUAAGUCGGGGGUGAAAUCCUGAGGCUCAACCUCAGAACUGCCUUCGAUACUGGCAAUCUCGAGUCCGGAAGAGGUUGGUGGAACAGCUAGUAUAGAGGUGAAAUUCGUAGAUAUUAGCUAGAACACCAGUGGCGAAGGCGGCCAACUGGUCCGGUACUGACGCUGAGGUGCGAAAGCGUGGGGAGCAAACAGG
rnacentral:rRNA from 1 species